UACGUAGGGCGCAAGCGUUGUCCGGAAUUAUUGGGCGUAAAGAGCUCGUAGGCGGCCUGUUGCGUCCGCUGUGAAAUCCCGGGGCUCAACCCCGGGCCUGCAGUGGAUACGGGCUGGCUGGAGGCAGGCAGGGGAGAACGGAAUUCCUGGUGUAGCGGUGAAAUGCGUAGAUAUCAGGAGGAACACCUAUGGCGAAAGCAGGUUUCUGGGCCAUCACUGACGCUGAGCUGCGAAAGCUAGGGGAGCAAACAGG
rnacentral:rRNA from 1 species